rnacentral:rRNA from 1 species
AGCGGAGGAAAAGAAACUAACAAGGAUUCCCCUAGUAACUGCGAGUGAAGCGGGAAGAGCUCAAAUUUAAAAUCUAAUAGUCUAUGACUGUUCGAGUUGUAAUCUAGAGAAGCACUAUCCGUGCUGGACCAUGUAUAAGUCUCCUGGAAUGGGGCGUCAUAGAGGGUGAGAAUCCCGUCUUUGACAUGGACUACCAGUGCAUUGUGAUGUGCUCUCAACGAGUCGAGUUGUUUGGGAAUGCAGCUCUAAAUGGGUGGUAAAUUCCAUCUAAAGCUAAAUAUUGGCGAGAGACCGAUAGCGAACAAGUACCGUGAGGGAAAGAUGAAAAGAACUUUGAAAAGAGAGUUAAACAGUACGUGAAAUUGUUGAAAGGGAAACGCUUAAAGUCAGUCACAUUGAUCAGGGAUCAACCUUGCUUUUGCUUGGUGUAUUUUCUGAUCAAUGGGUCAGCAUCAAUUUUAAUCAGUGGACAAAGGCUGAGGGAAUGUGGCAUCAUUUGAUGUGUUAUAGCCCUCUGUCAUAUACAUUGGUUGGGAUUGAGGAACUCAGCAUGCCGCAAGGCCGGGUUUUAACCACGUUCAUGCUUAGGAUGCUGGCAUAAUGGCUUUAAUCGACCCGUCUUGA